rnacentral:rRNA from 1 species
GAUGAACGCUAGCGGCAGGCUUAACACAUGCAAGUCGAGGGGCAGCAUGAGGGUUAGCAAUAACCCUUGAUGGCGACCGGCGCAAGGGUGCGUAACGCGUGAGCAACUUGCCCGUUUCAGGGGGAUAACCGGUGGAAACGCCGACUAAUACCCCAUAGUAUGUUUUUGAGGCAUCUCAGAAACAUUAAAGAAUUUCGGAAACGGAUAGGCUCGCGUGACAUUAGCUUGAUGGCGGGGUAACGGCCCACCAUGGCGACGAUGUCUAGGGGUUCUGAGAGGAAGGUCCCCCACACUGGAACUGAGACACGGUCCAGACUCCUACGGGAGGCAGCAGUGAGGAAUAUUGGUCAAUGGUCUGACGACUGAACCAGCCAUGCCGCGUGAAGGUCACGGCCCUAUGGGUCUUAAACUUCUUUUGCGAGGGAGCAAUAAGGCGCACGUGUGCGUCGAUGAGAGUACCUCGCGAAUAAGCAUCGGCUAACUCCGUGCCAGCA